UAGAAGAGAGAGAAGAAUCAAACAUCUGUUAUCACAGAAGUCUUAUAAAAUGGUCAAGAAUAUAAUAACGGUUUCCUAGUAAGUAAGCACCACCACCACUAUGGACACCACCCAACAACAUAUUAUUAUGAAACCGCACUGUACAGUUUGUUUAUAAGGCAUUUCACACAUGUUUUAUCUCUUCAUCCUCACUGUUGCUGGAGCAAGUGUUGUAUCUCUGCUUCGGAUGAGUUAAAUCAUGGACAUAUUAUGGCCAGGGCUGCUUGUUCAGAUGACAUCAUCUUUGAAACUGCUGAGCCUACUAAGGAAUCUACAUUAGCCUGUGGGAUCAGGAAACUGGAAUUUGCUGGAUAAAGCCUUUUCACAGCUUUA